GGGUGGGUCUGGUUCUUUAGGGUUUAGGGUCUGGGUGCCAGGGUGGUUCUGGUUCUUUUCUUUUGUUCUUUAAGCCCACUGCCUAGCGAUUUUUCAAACUUAUGGCAGCUCAUGUUUAGCAAGUUUGAAUUUGAUGGGAAACUGAAUCCUACUUUUGUGGAACGGACAUUUAAGCUCCCAUUAUCAAGCAUACGAGCAUAUCUAAAAGAGCCUAUUACUCCCAGGUUCGUCCACUUAGGUUUUGCAGGAGUUACCCGACCUGACAGGCCUGGACUUGAUCUAAAUAAACAACCUCCUGUUGUUCGCUUAAACAAGGAAUUGGAUUUUAUACUGACAUUCAAGUUGAAGGGGGAGGAUUUAGCACGGGAAACUGGAAUACCAUAUACAAUUGUGAGGCCUUGUGCAUUAACUGAGGAGCCUGCCGGAGCAGUCUCAUUUUUUACCGAGGAGACAACAUAACACUAUAUAAUCAAAUAGAAGAUCACUGUUCUCUCUUUGUUGUAUGCAUGUGAUGACAUGAUAAGAUAUCAAGAGAGGAGGUUGCUCAGAUUUGUGUUGCUGCGUUGGAAAGCCCCUAUGCAUCUGGCAAGACAUUUGAGGUUAAAAGUGUUGUGCCAUUUAGUGAGCCAUUUACAGUGGACCCUCAAUAUCCACCCCCCCGAGAAGGACUACAAUGUUUACUUUAAAACUUUGAAAGAUGGAAAUACUGGAAAGGAAAUCCUCGAACAAGAUCCUGUACCAGUGUAAUGUUUUGCAUGCAUAGAGCUCUAAUUUUAACCUUAACUCUCAGAUGAAAAGCAGAGGCUUCUACAGGAACAUGCAUAAGCGACCAAGAUUAUAAAGUUCUGUACGACAAAUCUACAUGACUUAAAAAAUUUCACCUGAGAUGAUAGGUUCUCACUUUCAAAAGGCUAUAGCCUUGAUCACAAUGAGGUCCAAACCUCCUGAUUAUGUAUAGAGGUUUGUAUUUUUUUUUUCAAUUCAGCUGUAUAAUAUUAUUUUCUUUUCUA